AACUAUGUUCUCUUUCCCUCCCCGCACAAUCCCAUUAUAUAAUCACAUGAGAAUUGACACUUUUCAAAACCUAACCCUCCUCUUGUUCUUCUCCUGCUGCUUGUUUGUUUUAUAGAGAUAAGAGAAUAUAGUUUGUGGGUGGGAGAAAAAUCUAUCCGAGAACAACUCCUGCUUACUUUGUUUGUUACAUGCUUACUUUGUUUGUUACAUAGAGUGUAGGUGUGAAAAAAGUUUGUGAGAGAAAAUAAAAUACAAGGUAGGAAAGGGAAAGGGAACACAAUACAAUAUAUGCUCUGAUUUAAGAUUGUUGCUACCUCCGGAAUGGAGUCCCCAACUGAAUCGGAUGACGAUGAAGACCCUCAAAUUGCUUGUCACACAAUUUUGGCUUUGGUGGUUUUAGGGAAAAUGAAAGAGAUAUGACCGGUGGAACGGAAGACAAAAUUGAAGUGAUUAUGCUUCCAGCUCAGCCAUCGUGUCUCCAGCACUCUAACUGAUCCGUACUCUAAAUUACAACGAAAACUAUAUACGUAGAUCAUAUUUUAGCAGAUUCCCUUCAUGAUUUGCCCAAGGAAUCCAUCAGAACAACAGCAAAAGAAGCAAACACAAUCCCUGGAUUGUGUCACUAAUUGGAAGAACCCUCAAGUCAUGCUACAGAAAAUAUUUCUAAACUUAUAACUGCAAACUAAGAACCAUAUUUUUCUAUUCUUUUUUAAAUAGGAAACCUUAGUUAUUUUCUUCAUUAUUAGUUUCCUAUAACAUUUUCUUAAAUUGUCAAAAGAGUCAAUGCUCCUAUAACUUUCUUAUAUCUUUUUGGAAAAAUUCAAGCAUAGAAAGGAGAAGAAAGGGGAACUUUUCCUCAAACCCAACUUUGAACUUCCAAGUUCAAAUCACUUAUACAUAUUACCUUAUUCUUACAUUUUCGUAGUUUACCCUUAACUAGGGGUCACAUAGAAACCCUUAAGUAGCAAAAAUAAGAAGAAAUAUAUGCAUAUACAAAAAGAUGAUACCAAUAUUCAGAUUCAUAUCUCUCGUUUCAAAUUACUUACUGAAGUUUGCCUGUACAAGAUUGCCAAAGGAAUCAUGUUUGAAUGACUGCCAACUUGACCAAUCCAUAACCUUUCCAAUGUUGCUCCUGGAAUUAGAUUCUUUGUUAAGGAGAAAUAAUUAUAUGUUCUGCCAAAUUAGAGAACAAAAGGUUGGAUAAGAAAACAUGUUUUUAUAUAUAGAUGAAAUAUUUUGUUAAAAAAAGGGAAUUAUAUCUUCUGAUAAAUAAUGUGCAUACAUAAAACAACCAUGUGCUCAUCAGAGAAAUCUUCCGUCUCUGUCAAUAAAUUCUGAAUUUAGCUGAAAUAUUCCUCUUUGUCCUCUGGUGUUGUUUACUCUAUCUCUUGUUACUAACUUUGUGUUUGUUACGCCAAAAAAAAGAGCAUCGCUAAAGUGAAAUUUCUGUAUACAAAUGAAGUAGAUAAAAUUUUAGAAAUGCAACUACCAAGAAUAAAGUAACACUCGGGAAAUAUGUCUUAUAAAUAGAGAUUUUUGGUUGGGGAGUUUUUGUGUUAAUAUGUGGUGACUACUCAAUGAUAAACAACACAAAGUAGGUAGUAACAAUCACAAAGUGAAUAGGGAUAGUUACCUGCCAGUGUCGAAUUCGAAGUAUUCCUAUUUUUACUAAAGAUCAUGCUAUGACAUGAAAGAUUCCAUACUUGUAACAUCCCAUCAGAAUGAAGCACAAAUGCAAGUGCGUUUCCACGAAAGAUGCAUAUCACCAAGUCUUGCACAGCCCCUAUCCUCCUUCCCCUGCAUUAUAAGUUCAUUUUCCAGGGUAUAAAAGAGUAAUUAACACGGCAAUUUAAAACUCUACAGUUCAAGAAAGAAAACUAAAGUGAUCCAUCGUGUUUUUGAGUAAAAUCUUUUAGUUACUUAUCAAAAAAAUGAUGCAUAACACAACUAACAUUAUAUACAUAAUGUAACAAAAGAUCCUACUUCUAUUCAAACAGGAGUGGACAAGGUAACCCACAGUAUUCUCUCUUCAUAAUUCAUUUAACCUUCUUGAUCUUCUUCUGUGGCUUGUUUGUUUUAUAGAGAUAAGAGAAAAUAGUUUGUGGGUGUGAGAAAAAUAGUUUAAGGGACUAAUGGUAAUAGUCAUGGAUUUUUAGUUAAGAGAUCGUUGCUCCAAUUAGGUUAAAGUUAGGGGACCAUUGCUACAAUUUUCUCUAUGCUUUUAUCUUUCAUUGUUUUUCGCCUUCGAAUUAGGUUGAUGCUUUUAUUCGUGGAGUAAAAAAUCCCAGCUACUAUUUUCAGAUCCGAUCAAAACUAAUAAUCCCAACUAGUUUUGUACUAUGAUCUCUUUCCCUCCCCCACAAGGGGUGUGCUAUCCACUCACCUUUUUUACUUCUCACACAUCUUCUUAGUUUUAGGUCGUCGGAUCGAAUGAAUCAAAGAAGAUUAAAUAACAUAAUUAACAAGAGGUGUGUGAAAAGUAAAAGGAUGUGCGUGGAUAUCACAACCUCUCCCAACAAUCCCAUUAUAUAAUCACAUGAGAAUUGACAUUUUCAAACCCUAACCCUCCUCUUGUUCUUCUGCUGCUGCUUGUUUGUUUUAUAGAGAUAAGAGAAAAUAGUUUGUGGGUGUGAGAAAAAUAGUUUAAGAGACUAAUAGUCAUGGAUUUUUAAUUAAGGGAACAUUGUUCCAAUUAGGUUAAAGUUGAGGGACAAUUGCUAUUUUCUCUAUGUUGUUAUCUUUCAUGCAGUUUUCGUCUUCGAAUUAGGUUAAUGCUUUUAUUCGUGGAGUAAAGAAUCUCAGCUAAUAUUUUCAAACCGAUCAAAACCAAUAAUCCCAACUACUAUUGUACAAUGAUCUCUUUCCCUCCCCCACAAGGGGUGUGCUAUCCACACACCAUUUUUUUACUUAUUAUACACUUUCUCAGUUUUAGACCAUCAAAUCGAAUGAAUCAAAGAAAAUCAAAUGACAUAAUUAACAAGACGUGUGCGGAUAUCACCCCCCCCCCCAGAAAAAAAAAAUCCAUUAUAUAAUCACAUGAGAAUUGACACUUUUCAAACCCUAACCCUCCUCUUGUUCUUCUGCUUGUUUGUUUUAUAGAGAUAAGAGAAAAUAGUGUGUGGGUGUGAGUAAAAUAGUUUAAGGAACUAAUGGUCAUGAAUUUUUAGUUGAGGGAUCAUUGCUCCAAUUAGGUUAAAAUUGAGGGAUCACUGCUACAAAUUUCUCUAUGCUUUUAUCUUUCAUGCGGUUUUCGUCUUCGAAUUAGAUUGAUGCUUUUAUUCGUGGAGUAAAGAAUCUCAACUACUAUUUUCAGAUCCGAUCAAAACUAAUAACCCUAACUACUAUCGUACUAUGAUCUCUUUCCCUCCCUCCCCCCCCCCCCACCACCAUUAUUUAGUUCACACACACCUUCAAUUUUAGACCGUUGGAUUGAAUGAAUCAAAGAAAAUCAAAUGACAGAAUUAACAAGAGGUGUGUGAAUAUCACACCCGCCCACAAUCCCAUUAUAUAAUCACAUGAGAUUGAUCAAAAAAAUAAUAAUCACAUGAGAAUUGACACUUUUCAAACCCUAACCCUCCUUUUGUUCUUCUUCUGCUGCUUGUUUGUCUUAUAGAGACUAGCAUUUGCCUACACACUUUGUGUGUAUGAACAUAUUUUUUUAGAAAAUAAGAAGGAAAGAGGGAGAGAGAACAUGGGGAGUGGGAGGUUUUUGUUUUUGGUUUUCUUUUGGUUUUUUUUUUUUAAUAUUGGAAGUAUUUUAACAUCACCUAUAGGUGAGACUUCAAUAAAAAUUGUAAAAUUUGGACCAACGAAAUUACAUUUUUGCCUAUCAUUUUGUGUGAUAGAAGACUAAUUUGUCUUUUCACCUUCUUUUGAUUGACAAAGAAGGUAGAGAUAAGAGAAAAUAGUUUGUGGGUGUGAGGAUAAUCUCUCCGAGAAAAACUCCUGCUUACUUUGUUUGUUUUAUAGAGGGUAGCUGUGAGAAAAGUUUGUGAGAGAAAAUAAAAUACAAAGGAAGAAAAGGAACACCAUACAAUAUAUGCUCUGAUUUAAGAUUGUUACUACCUCCGGAAUGGAGUUCCCAACUGAAUUGGAUGACGACGUAGACCCCCCCCCCCCCGGCGAAUUGCUUGUCACACAAUUUUGGCUUUGGUGGUUUUAGGGAAAAUGAAAAAGGUAACCAAGUAAUCCUGCAGCCAAUGCCGCAACUCGAUUGUGGUACUAUGGACGGUGGAACGGAAGACAAAAUUGAAGUGAUUAUGGCUCCGGCUCUAGAGGCCAACUAACUUGGCUCAAGAUCAUGUUGUGGCCACUACCAGUCGCGAUUGUAAUUGGCAUAUGGGCAUAUUACAUGCAUGACGAGGAGAGUAUCGCAAAGGGAUCCGACGGUUUCUUCAAAUCUUUGUAUCUCACUGUCCCGAAUACUGGUGUUUUGAUGUUGAUACAUUACUUUUUUUUUUUUUUUUUUUUGGCGCCUGGGGUUGGUUGUCUUCAAUCUCAAACAACUCAAGGACGGGUUUAACCAGAGUUCUAGCUAUAUCCAGCUUGUUUCUGCAACGAUUAUGUUGCUUUUAUUGCUGAUAGGCUUAGGUAUUUCAUUAUUAUAUGUAUUGGAGGGUGAGAAGUUCUACAAUUUAGAUGUGUGGUACUUUAAUAUAAUCACUAUAAUGAGAGUUGACAACGGGGAUUUUUCUUUCACGUCCCCCGAAGCUCAAGUUUUCGCUUCCGUCUAUGUAUUUAUAGCAUCGCUACUUGUGGAAAACUCUGAAGGGGAAUUAGACAAUGUUGCUGAUGAAA